UACGAAGGGUGCAAGCGUUGUUCGGAAUUACUGGGCGUAAAGGGCGCGUAGGCGGGUUUGUAAGUCGAUUGUGAAAUCCCUGGGCUUAACCCGGGAACUGCAGUCGAAACUGCAAAUCUUGAAUACCUGAGAGGAUGGCGGAAUUCCCGGUGGUAGUAGUGAAAUACGUAGAUGAAGUCGGGAAGAACACCCGUGGGCGAAGGCGGCUCUCUGGGACGGUACUGGCGCUGAGACGCGAA
rnacentral:rRNA from 1 species